UUCGCAAUGCCCGAAAGGGUGACGAAGCGACGCCGCGUGGGUGAGGAAGGCCUUCGGGUUGUAAAGCCCUGUCAGGAGUUAAGAAAUGUAGACUCGCUAAUAUCGGGUCUAUUUGACAAAGGCUCCAAAGGAAGCCACGGCUAACUCUGUGCCAGCAGCCGCGGUAAUACAGAGGUGGCAAGCGUUGUUCGGAAUUAUUGGGCGUAAAGAGCACGUAGGUGGAUUUGUAAGUCAGACGUGAAAGCCUUCUGUUCAACGGAAGAAUUGCAUCUGAAACUACAAACCUUGAGUGUAGGAGGGGAGAAUGGAACUUCUGGUGGAGCGGUGAAAUGCGUAGAUAUCAGAAGGAACGCCGGCGGCGAAAGCGAUUCUCUGGCCUAUUACUGACACUCAGUGUGCGAAAGCUAGGGGAGCAAACGGGGUUAGAUACCCCGGUAGUCCUAGCCGUAAACGAUGGGCACUAAGUAGAGGGGUUUU
rnacentral:rRNA from 1 species